CAGCUAUUAUGACAGCAGCAGGACAUUACAACUUUGACUCUGGACGAGAGUGAUGAUGAAACAGCAGACAGCGAGACUGACUCUCUGGAGAGUAUAACCAAAUCUGCUGGAAGGUCCCAUCAUGGUUUGGUCUGAUUCCUGUGGAUUCAACCUCAUUUUCACACAGAGAUGUGCGAUAUUUCCUGAUGGUCAUCGUCACAUCUUCAGAGUAGAAACCAGUGGCCAGACAGGUAUCCUUUGGUGUACAUGUUUAGGAUCGGCACAUUGUCCCAUUUUCUCUUGGUUGGUACAGCUGCGUCAACUGAGGUAACCCACUGAGACUCUUUAUUAUCAAAAGACAGAAAGUUUUCUCCAUCAUAGCCAUAUUCACUAAUGCCUUUGGAAAACUUCACUUCAUCUCCCUCCUGCACAACUUCACAACCAUGUCUCCACUGAAGAACAUGAAGAUCUGGACAGAAAGCAAAAUGACACCUGCUCAAACAACACAUAAAACUACAUAAAAGACACAUAAAUACCAGAAGUGGAACAAGCCUGUGCAAAACUUUAUAAAUGAAGCAAGCAAAUUGUGUGUUCAAUGACACAACAAUUAAAUAAAGAGGGGUUUUGUUCCCCCCAAAAAA